UACGUAGGUGACCAGCGUUGUCCGGAUUUACUGGGCAUAAAGAGCGCGCAGGCGGUCGUUCAAGUCGAGUGUGAAAGCCCCCGGCUCAACUGGGGAGGGUCAUUCGAUACUGAUCGACUUGAAGGCAGGAGAGGGAAGUGGAAUUCCCGGUGUAGUGGUGAAAUGCGUAGAUAUCGGGAGGAACACCAACGGCGAAAGCACUCUGCUGGGCCGACACUGACACUGAGAGACGAAAGCUAGGGGAGCGAAUGGG
rnacentral:rRNA from 1 species